GGAAACCGGAGCUAAUACCGGAUAAUAUAUUGAACCGCGUGGUUCAAUAGUGAAAGACGGUUUUGCUGUCACUUAUAGAUGGAUCCGCGCCGCAUUAGCUAGUUGGUAAGGUAACGGCUUACCAAGGCAACGAUGCGUAGCCGACCUGAGAGGGUGAUCGGCCACACUGGAACUGAGACACGGUCCAG
rnacentral:rRNA from 1 species